rnacentral:rRNA from 1 species
GACGAACGCUGGCGGCGCGCUUAACACAUGCAAGUCGAGCGAAGCGGCGGACGGGUGAGUAACACGUGAGUAACCUGCCUUAGACAUUGGGAUAGCCACGGGAAACCGGGUUUAAUACCAAUUGGUCUAAGAUGGACUCGCGUCCCCUUAGCUAGUUGGUGAGGUAACGGCCCACCAAGGCGACGAUGGGUAGCCGGCCUGAGAGGGGGAAAGGCCACAUUGGAACUGAGAAACGGUCAAAACUCUACGGGGGGCAGCAGUGGGGAAUAAUGCACAAUGGAGGGAACUCUAAUGCAGCGAAGCCGAGUGAACGAAGAAGACUUUCGAGGCGUAAAGUUAUUUUAUAUGGGAAGAGGUACAAUAAAAAAAUGCCACGACUAACUACGUGCCAGCAGCCGCGGUAAUUC